UGCUGUUUCUAAUUUUGUAUCAGUUAAAACUGAUGAACUGUCUAUGAGCAAAGGACGUUCUUUUAGAGGGCCCUUUUUUUGCACCUUAAACAGCAAUUUCCUCAUCUUCACAAAACAUUCAGAGGGUGGAAGUUAGAGAUACGUAAAGCAUUCCAUAUAUAGCCUGUUUUUUGUUGUCAUAUCCACUUUCUUUGCUCAUAAAUUUUCUCCAGGGUUGUUUCAGGAUGUAGCUGAAGAUGCACAGCAGCUCUCCCCACCUGCCCUGCCUGCAGAAAUCUUAGAUUUGCCCCCUGUGUCUGCAUUCAGAAGUCAUGUAGGUAGAAGGCAUAAUGUCCAGUCUGGCUUCCAAAGUUUCUCACCUGAUAUCUGCUCUGGUGGAGUCUCAGUGGUUACAGUACCGUGCAGAAGUCUUGUAAAGAAGGAGCUGUGCUUUAUCCUGACAUCAGCAAAAAGGUCAGCCCUUGGUCAGCAACACACUCCACUUGUUCACCAGCACAAAGCUGAAUGCUUCCAGAGACUCAACUUUUGUGCCCCAAGGAGCAUUUUAAGGUAAAAUGGCAACACAGCAUGGGACUGCAAAAGGAAAUGCCAAAGUUUUUGAAGGCUCAGCACCAGGCACAGCCCCUGACCCCUCAUCUCUGGCUGUGGCAGGGAGCAGGUUAGCGUGGCAGGGAUGACAGCGCUGGAGCAGAUGAUGCAACGGCAGCUAAUGCAGCGUGGAGCGUGUGGCUGGAUGGUGAAAAACGCCAAAGGUAAUUAAUCUGAUUGCUAAAA